AUCGUGGAUGAAGCAAGCUCACUUGGAUGGAAUUGCUUGCUCUCUUCCUUCUCAUUCAAGAAACCUUCUGAAAAUUCAUUUCUUCAUUGUGGUGGAACAACUCCAAUUUCCUGGAUAUUAUUAAAUUGUCUUUUCUUCUUAUAGAAAAUUCAACCCCAGGCCUGGCACAGUGGCUCACACCUGUAAUCACAGCACUUUGGGAGGCCAAGGCAGGUGGAUCAUGAUGUCAAGAGAUCGAAACAAUCCUGGCCAACAUGGUGAAACCACGUUCCUGCUAAAAAUACAAAAAUUAGCUGGGCUUGGUGGUGUGAGCCUGUAGUCCCAGCUACUCGAGAGGCUGAGGCUGGAGAAUCGCUUGAACCCGGGAGGCAGAGGUUGCAGUGAGCUGAGAUCGCACCAUUGCACUCCAGCCUGGCGACCGAGCGGGACUCCGUCUCAAAAAAAAAAAAAAAAAAAAAACAAAAAAAGAAAGAAAUGUAACUCCAGCCUCUGAUGAAAAACGUAAGUUCUUACUAGAAUAAAAUUAACAAUUUCAAUUAGUUUUCUUCACUGGAUUCAACAUCUCUAGCUAGCAACAUAACUUCAACUAAU
rnacentral:lncRNA from 1 species